rnacentral:ncRNA from 1 species
UGGGUAGAGGCUGCAGAGCUGAUCAGUAGGAUGUGCGAGUUUGACCGCGUUGACCGCAUCUGAAAGGAAGUUUUGCCGAAAUCGAUUUUCUGGGGUCUCCGGAAAUUGGAUUGGGAUCAUUCUGAACAAGAAUGAUACUGUCAUUUAGGCGGAAGCGUAAAUGGAGGGCUACAGGG